rnacentral:misc_RNA from 1 species
CUACUACCGAUUGAAUGGUUUAGUGAGAUCUCGGGAUUGGCGAUGCCUUGCCGCAAGGCACAGUAUCGCCGAAAACUUGCUCAAACUUGAUCAUUUAGAGGAAGUAAAAGUCGUAACAAGGUUUCCGUAGGUGAACCUGCGGAAGGAUCAUUAACGAAUUAAUCAAUCCAACCCCCCUGCCUUAAUUGCGGAUCACCUAGUGCCGUUUUUCGAGGUCGAGAGUCUUCCGUUUAUUCGGAGCACUCUCGUUAAAUCGUCCGUGGGUACGGUCGUACGUAGGGCGUCUCUUAGUUGAGGCGCGGUGCGUGCGGCUCGGCGGGCCUCGAAUGUGUUUUUACCCACGAACCUCAAACCCCUUGACUUUUUACGUAUCCGAUCUGUCGCCGGGGACGUUCCCUUCGGGAGACGCCGCCUGCGCAGAGUCAAUCUAAAAGCGAACAACUUUUAACGGUGGAUCUCUUGGCUCGUGCAUCGAUGAAGAACGCAGCAAACUGCGAUAAGUAAUGUGAAUUGCAGAAUUCAGUGAAUCAUCGAAUCUUUGAACGCAAAUGGCGCUCUUGGGAUCUUCCCAGGAGCACGCCUGUCUGAGCGUCGUUUCUCACGUCCCUACCCCAAGGGGCCUUGAAUCGUCCCGUUGAACACUUCAGUGCUCGACCGGUCAUUUGAAAUGAAGCGAACCCGAGCUGUCCGAAGCGUCCCCGCGACGUGUGCUCCUCGGUGUGGUAGAUUUAUCUAAAACAUUCGAGGGCCGCGUGGUGGGAGCGUCCGAAGGCUAGCAUUCGUGGCCGUAUCUGGCGGUGAACUUACGUUCGCCUACGAUAGACCUCAGAUCAGACGAGAC